rnacentral:rRNA from 1 species
GAUGAACGCUGGCGGCGUGCUUAAUACAUGCAAGUCGAACGGAAAGGCCCUGAUUUUGUGGGGUGCUCGAGUGGCGAACGGGUGAGUAACACGUGUGUAAACGGCACUUGUCUUUGGGAUAUCUUCUGGAAACUGGGGCUCAUAUAGGGUAGGAGCUCCUGAAGCACGGUGGGGGAUGGAAAGAUUCGGCUGUGCGGGCUGGAAUAGCGGCUUAUCCGCUUGUUGGUGAGGUAGUGACUGACCAAGGCUUUGAAGGGUAGCCGGCAUGGGAGGGUGACCGGCCACAUUGGGACUAAGAGACGGCCCAGACUCCUACGGGAGGCAGCAGUGGGGAAUAUGGCACAGUGGGCGGAAGCCUGAUGCAGCAACGCCGCGUGCGGGAUGACGGCCUUCGGGUUGUAAACCGCUUUCGCCUGUGACGAAGCGUGAGUGACGGUAAUGGGUAAAGAAGCACCGGCUAACUACGUG